CCCAGAGGUUAUACCCAGGUUAACCCUGGAGCGGACGGUGCACCACCCAUGUAUGUCACAUUUAACCCCUCCCAAGCCGCCACCUUUGUAACCUCACUCCCUGAUCCUGAAAAGCAUCCCAUGCCCUUUUUCCGAAGAAUGGCUCAGAUUCGAAAAACAUUCCGCUGCAUGGCGGGAUCUUUUAAGUUUGAGUGAAAUUAAAGCUGGGGAUGCAUACUGGCCAAUCAUGGCGAGGAGCUUUAAUGAUGCUCC